UGGGGAAUUUUGGACAAUGGGCGCAAGCCUGAUCCAGCCAUGCCGCGUGCGGGAAGAAGGCCUUCGGGUUGUAAACCGCUUUUGUCAGGGAAGAAAUCUUCUGAGUUAAUACCUCGGGAGGAUGACGGUACCUGAAGAAUAAGCACCGGCUAACUACGUGCCAGCAGCCGCGGUAAUACGUAGGGUGCAAGCGUUAAUCGGAAUUACUGGGCGUAAAGCGUGCGCAGGCGGUUUUGUAAGACAGAGGUGAAAUCCCCGGGCUCAACCUGGGAACUGCCUUUGUGACUGCAAGGCUUGAGUGCGGCAGAGGGGGGAUGGAAUUCCGCGUGUAGCAGUGAAAUGCGUAGAUAUGCGGAGGAACACCGAUGGCGAAGGCAAUCCCCUGGGCCUGCACUGACGCUCAUGCACGAAAGCGUGGGGAGCAAACAGGAUUAGAUACCCUGGUAGUCCACGCCCUAAACGAUGUCAACUGGUUGUUGGGAAGGUUCCUUCUCAGUAACGUAGCUAACGCGUGAAGUUGACCGCCUGGGGAGUACGGCCGCAAGGUUGAAACUCAAAUGAAUUGACGGGGUCAUAGCUGUUUCCUG
rnacentral:rRNA from 1 species